UACAGAGGGGGCAAGCGUUGUUCGGAAUUACUGGGCGUAAAGGGCGCGUAGGCGGCCCGCUAAGUCGAACGUGAAAUCCCCAGGCUCAACCUGGGAACUGCGUCCGAUACUGGCAGGCUUGAAUCCGGGAGAGGGAUGUGGAAUUCCAGGUGUAGCGGUGAAAUGCUUAGAUAUGACAUAGAACACCAAUUGCGAAGGCAACUGGCUACACAAAUAUUGACACUGAGGCACGAAAGCGUGGGGAUCAAACAGG
rnacentral:rRNA from 1 species